rnacentral:rRNA from 1 species
GGGGAAUAUUGCACAAUGGGGGAAACCCUGAUGCAGCAACGCCGCGUGAGUGAUGACGGCCUUCGGGUUGUAAAGCUCUGUCUUCAGGGACGAUAAUGACGGUACCUGAGGAGGAAGCCACGGCUAACUACGUGCCAGCAGCCGCGGUAAUACGUAGGUGGCGAGCGUUGUCCGGAUUUACUGGGCGUAAAGGGAGCGUAGGCGGACUUUUAAGUGAGAUGUGAAAUACCCGGGCUCAACUUGGGUGCUGCAUUUCAAACUGGAAGUCUAGAGUGCAGGAGAGGAGAAUGGAAUUCCUAGUGUAGCGGUGAAAUGCGUAGAGAUUAGGAAGAACACCAGUGGCGAAGGCGAUUCUCUGGACUGUAACUGACGCUGAGGCUCGAAAGCGUGGGGAGCAAAC